UGCCUGCUUCUGUGUGAUAUGUUUGAUAUUGGGUUGUUAAAUUAUGAACCAACUGAAUGUCAAGCAUACUCUCACAGCAGUAAGGA
rfam:Mus musculus chromosome 3, GRC primary reference assembly.